rnacentral:rRNA from 1 species
UACGGGGGGCGAGCGUUGUUCGGAAUUACUGGGCGUAAAGAGCUCGUAGGCGGUGUGUCGCGUCGGCCGUGAAAACCUGGGGCUUAACUCUGGGCGUGCGGUCGAUACGGGCAUCACUAGAGUUCGGCAGGGGAGACUGGAAUUCCUGGUGUAGCGGUGAAAUGCGCAGAUAUCAGGAGGAACACCGGUGGCGAAGGCGGGUCUCUGGGCAGUAACUGACGCUGAGGAGCGAAAGCGUGGGGAGCGAACAGG